CCUACGGGGGGCAGCAGUGGGGAAUAUUGCACAAUGGGCGAAACCCUGAUGCAGCGACGCCGCGUGAGUGAAGAAGUAAUUCGUUAUGUAAAGCUCUAUCAGCAGGGAAGAAAAUGACGGUACCUGAGUAAGAAGCCCCGGCUAACUACGUGCCAGCAGCCGCGGUAAUACGUAGGGGGCAAGCGUUAUCCGGAUUUACUGGGGGUAAAGGGGGCGUAGACGGGAGUGCAAGUCUGGAGUGAAAGGCGGGGGCUCAACCCCCGGACUGCACUGGAAACUGUACGGCUGGAGUGCAGGAGAGGUAAGUGGAAUUCCUAGUGUAGCGGUGAAAUGCGUAGAUAUUAGGAGGAACACCAGUGGCGAAGGCGGCUUGCUGGACUGUAACUGACGUUGAGGCUCGAAGGCGUGGGGAGCAAACAGGAUUAGAUACCCGUGUAGUC
rnacentral:rRNA from 1 species